UGAGGAAUAUUGGUCAAUGGACGAGAGUCUGAACCAGCCAAGUAGCGUGCAGGAUGACGGCCCUAUGGGUUGUAAACUGCUUUUGUUUGGGAAUAAUCGACAUUACGUGUAAUGUUUUGCAUGUCCCAUUCGAAUAAGGACCGGCUAUUUCCUUGCCAGCAGCCGCGGUAAUACGGAAGGUCCAGGCGUUAUCCGGAUUUAUUGGGUUUAAAGGGAGUGUAGGCGGUUGGUUAAGCGUGUUGUGAAAUGUAGAUGCUCAACAUCUGACUUGCAGCGCGAACUGGCUGACUUGAGUACACACAACGUAGGCGGAAUUCAUGGUGUAGCGGUGAAAUGCUUAGAUAUCAUGAAGAACUCCGAUUGCGAAGGCAGCUUACGGGAGUGUUACUGACGCUUAAGCUCGAAGGUGCGGGUAUCGAACAGG
rnacentral:rRNA from 1 species